rnacentral:rRNA from 1 species
AGGUCAAGCUAAUAAGGGCUAACGGUGGAUACCUAGGCACACGGAAGCGAAGAAGGACGUAGUUACCGACGAAACGCUUCGGGGAGCGGGAAGCAAGCAUCGAUCCGAAGAUAUCCGAAUGGGGCAACCCUAAACACGACCACCUGAAUACAUAGGGUGGAGCGAGCAAACCUGGUGAACUGAAACAUCUUAGUAGCCAGAGGAAAAGAAAGCAACAGCGAUUCCCCCAGUAGCGGCGAGCGAAAAGGGAACAGCCUAAACCAAGUUCUUCGGAACUUGGGGUCGUGGGACAGUAACAAAAGACUGGGAAAUUUAGACGAAGCGGCUGAAAACCGCACCAGAGAAGGUGAAAGUCCUGUAGUCGAAAAAGGAACCAGCUUAACUGCAUCCCGAGUAGCAUGGGGCACGUGAAAUCCCGUGUGAAUCUGCCUCGACCACGAGGUAAGGCUAAAUAUUCCCGUGUGACCGAUAGAGAAACAGUACCGCGAGGGAAAGGUGAAAAGAACCCCGGAAGGGGAGUGAAAUAGAACAUGAAACCGUUAGCCUACAAGCAAUGGGAGGACGAUUGAACGUCUGACCGUGUGCCUGUUGAAGAAUGAGCCGGCGACUUACAGGUUAUGGCAGGUGAAGGGGGAAGACCCCACAGCCCCAGCGAAAGCGAGUCUGAACAGGGCGAAAAGUCAUAAUUUGUAGACCCGAACCCGGGUGAUCUAACCAUGGCCAGGAUGAAGCUUGGGUAAAACCAAGUGGAAGUCCGAACCGACUAAUGUUGAAAAAUUAGCGGAUGAGCUGUGGUUAGGGGUGAAAUGCCAAUCGAACUCGGAGCUAGCUGGUUCUCCCCGAAAUGUGUUGAGGCGCAGCGGUAGUGGAAGUUUAGUCGGGGUAAAGCACUGUUUCGCCGCGGGCUGGGAGACCGGUACCAAGGCGAGGCAAACUCUGAAUACGGCUAAAAAAACUACCAGUGAGACGGUGGGGGAUAAGCUUCAUCGUCAAGAGGGAAACAGCCCAGACCACCAGCUAAGGUCCCCAAAUGAUAACUAAGUGAGAAAGGAGGUGGGAGUGCAUUGACAACCAGGAGGUUUGCCUAGAAGCAGCAAUCCUUAAAAGAGUGCGUAAUAGCUCACUGGUCAAGCGCUCCUGCGCCGAAAAUGAACGGGGCUAAGUUAUCUACCGAAGCUGUGGACAGUGAGCGUAGGCGAACUGUGGUAGGGGAGCGUUCUAUAGGGGGUGAAGCAGUAGCGGCAAGCAGCUGUGGACUCUAUAGAAGUGAGAAUGUCGGCUUAAGUAGCGAAAAUGUGGGUGAGAAUCCCACACCCCGAAACCCCAAGGUUUCCUCCGCAAGGCUCGUCCGCGGAGGGUCAGUCAGGACCUAAGGCGAGGCUGAAAAGCGUAGUCGAUGGACAACGGGUUAACAUUCCCGUACCGAUUAAUGAUUGUGCCGGAGAACGGAGAAGGUCAACGUCAGCUGGAUGUUGGUUACCAGUGCAAGCAGUCAAGGCGAUGAGAGGUGGCGAAAACACCAGGAGCUAAGACGCGAGUCCCACCUCCCACGGGAGGGAAGUGGCGCUGAUCAAGCUUCCUAGAAAAGCCCGAACCACGUUAAUCAUUAAUUGCCUGUACCCGAAACCGACACAGGUGGGGAAGUAGAGAAUACUAAGGGGCGCGAGAUAACUCUCUCUAAGGAACUCGGCAAAAUGACCCCGUAACUUCGGGAGAAGGGGUACCCUCGCAAGAGGGUCGCAGUGAAUAGGCCCAGGCGACUGUUUACCAAAAACACAGGUCUCCGCCAAGUCGUAAGACGCAGUAUGGGGGCUGACGCCUGCCCAGUGCCGGAAGGUUAAGGAAGUUGGUCAGGGCUGAGCUUGUCGAAGCCUGAAGCUGACGACCGAAGCCCCGGUGAACGGCGGCCGUAACUAUAACGGUCCUAAGGUAGCGAAAUUCCUUGUCGGGUAAGUUCCGACCCGCACGAAAGGCGUAACGAUCUGGGCACUGUCUCGGAGAGAGACUCGGCGAAAUAGGAUUGUCUGUGAAGAUACGGACUACCUGCACCUGGACAGAAAGACCCUAUGAAGCUUUACUGUAGCCUGGAAUUGGCUUCGGGCUUCGCUUGCGCAGGAUAGGUGGGAAGCGUUGAAACUCUCCUCGUGGGGAGGGUGGAGCUAACGGUGAGAUACCACUCUGGCGAGGCUAGAAUUCUAACCCUGACCCCUAAUCGGGGCGGGAGACAGUUUCAGGUGGGCAGUUUGACUGGGGCGGUCGCCUCCUAAAAGGUAACGGAGGCGCGCAAAGGUUCCCUCGGUCCCGUUGGAAAUGGGACGAUAGAGUGCAAAAGCAGAAGGGAGCUUGACUGUGAGACCCACAAGUCGAACAGGGACGAAAGUCGGCUUUAGUGAUCCGACGGCACCGCGUGGAAGGGCCGUCGCUCAACGGAUAAAAGUUACUCUAGGGAUAACAGGCUGAUCUCCCCCAAGAGUUCACAUCGACGGGGAGGUUUGGCACCUCGAUGUCGGCUCAUCGCAACCUGGGGCUGAAGUCGGUCCCAAGGGUUGGGCUGUUCGCCCAUUAAAGCGGUACGUGAGCUGGGUUCAGAACGUCGUGAGACAGUUCGGUCCAUAUCCGGUGUAGGCGUAAGAGCAUUGCGAGGAGCCUUCCUUAGUACGAGAGGACCGGGAAGGACGCACCGCUGGUGUACCUGUUAUCGUGCCAACGGUAAACGCAGGGUAGCCAUGUGCGGAGCGGAUAACCGCUGAAAGCAUCUAAGUGGGAAGCCCACCUCCAGAUGAUUGCUCUCAUGGCAUUAAGCCAGUAAGGUCUCGGGUAGACUACCCGUUGAUAGGCUCUAGAUGGAAGCUCGGUAACGAGUGCAGUCGAGGAGUACUAACCGACCGAGGGCUUGACCUCA